rnacentral:lncRNA from 1 species
GAAUCAAAAUCUACCUGAUUAAACAAAUACAAUAUUUGGAAACUGAUUUUUCAGAAUUGCUGCUGGAUGCUGAUCAGUUCCCAUUAUAGUGCAGGAAUUUGAAGGACAUAUACUUAUUUGUAUCUCAACAAUCUCGACUCUUCUGAUCCUGCAUAUAAAGUGUAGGGAAUUAGAAGGAAAGCUUUAAGAUAUAAAUAUUUGAAGUUGGAUAUUUCCUCACAGCUUUAAAUUUUUGAGAGAAUUUCUUUUACUGGGUGCUUGAGUGUGAAAGUUUUAUUUUGUGGCUUUCAUAUUUGUAAUUAAUUAUUUACAAUUUUAAACAUAAUUAUAUAAAUUUUUAUAAAUAAUUAUUUGUUAUAUAUAAGCAAAAGAGAUGGAGGAGAUUGACUAAAGGAAUUCUUAAAGUUGGAUAUAUUAUUGCUCACUAAUAUAAUUAGCCAACUUUCAAUACUGGAUCGUUGUAUUAAUUAAUUUAAUUGGUAACAACAUUAAUUAAUAAUAAUCUCUAAAAACUAAGUAAUUUAAAAGUACAGUUUAUUGAGGAUAAAUUAAAUCUUCUUUCUUUUAAUUACUAUUUUUUUUAAAAAAAAAAAAAAAAAACAUUUAAUUUUUUUGUACACAGGUAUAAAUGUAAUGGUUAAAUAUAGGACAGGUAUAAAUAUGAUGGGAACCAACCCUUGGAUUUUACACGCCAGGCUCAAGUACAGUUUGUACGUAUUUGAUAUUUAAUUUCUUUAGGUGCGCAUUCCACCACCACAUUAAUUUAUGUGUGAAUUUCAUUUGUCAUUCAUUGUAAUUUUUUGAAUAAAUUUAUGUGUUUUAUGAAUUUGUAAUUUGUAUAUAUUCUGUUUGUUCAAUUGAGUCUGAACUACAUUAAAUGGGUUCUGAUUAAAUGUGACUGGUUCGAUGUUUAGUAUGUAGUUCUGAUCUAAUCAAGAGCUCUAUGUUUUAUAAACAAUGUGAAUUCUAUCAUGAUUAAAAAAUAUUAAGAUAUUUUUAUUUAAUUUUAAGAUAUAUUUUUUUUUUAACAUCUCUCUUAAUUUUGGUAUCUUUUAAAACCUCUGAUUAUGUCAAUAUUAUUAUUCUCGAAAAAGAAAAUUGUAUGUAAUCUUUUGAUGUUUUUAUUACAUUAUGUAAAGACAAGUUAUAAGAAAGUUGUUGGAUUUUAAAUCUAAUUGCAACUCGGUUAUAAUUCAAAGAAAUUGAAAUUCUUCUAUCCAAAUGACCCAAAAAAAAAAAUGCCUAAUUGUUAUGGUUUAGGUAUUGCAAAAUGUAAUUAGAUGCUAAACUUGUUUUUAUAAACUUAAUUAAAAGUUAUUAGAAAUCAUAAAGUUAUAAAUAAUAAAAAAUAUAUAUAUAUAUGGUGUAUGGUGCAUGAAUUCGUCUAACAAGGUGGACUGUCAUGGGCAGGCAAAGCUAGAUUUUUAAAUUUUUUGAUAAGUUCAAUUCAAUGAAGAAUAAAUUAAAUUAUUAAUUUAUACAUAUAUAUAUAUAUAUAUAUUAUACUACUGCUUUAAUUGUAGGUCCUAAUCGGUAAGUACAAGUAUUUUCACCAAUACGUAUAUACAUAUAUAGAUUUUGUUAAUAUGGUUUUCUUGAGGUCCUCCAUAAUUUAAACGUUUAAAGAUAUAUUGAUUGAACCCUAAGCUUCGUAUCUCAAUUGUCAUCAUGACAUUUCCCUCUCCAAAAAGCAAGACGACAAAUGCCACCGCCCCCAACCAGUGGUACUACGUCGUUUUACACCACAUCUCUCCCCACCCCCCAUAAUAACCUCAAAUCCAUUUGAUACAGACUUUGCAUGUACACAUUCUGUGAAAGCUUAUAAUACAUAUUCGUACUCACACGCGCAUAUAUAUAGCAACACCAACAAUGCAAACAAAAAAAGGAAUGGCAGGGAUAUUUUUACAUAUAGGACACCUUAUGAUUGUCUUCAUAUAUAUAUAUAUAUAUAUGUAUAUACAUGCACACGAAAGUUCGAGGAAACUGCUUGCUCAGUUGCAUCCCUAAUUAAACUUUCUGCAUGAUUGAUGUCUUAGGAUCAUAAUUAAGCAGGUAGCAAAGCUUGAUUCGAGUUUUAAGUUUCUAUUAUUAAUACUACGCCAAACGUUAUGUAUGUAUAUGUAGUAGUUGAUAUGCUGAGUAUAUGUUAUAUAUGUACAUAUACUAGUUGAUUUGCAAUUGCGGCAAAAAGUGAAAGAUGAUUAAUGCGACGUUGUUUCGUUAGGUUACUAAUUAUGGAGAUUAGAUGGUAAUUAGAGUGAAAAAGAUGAUUAGGUUUAGAGAAAGGGAUUAUGCAGAAGGAAACUUCGAGGAAGGCGAGUUGGGUUUGAUAACACAUGGUUGUGGGGGCAGAUUUUGGAUGAGUCUGCAACUGAUAGAAGAUGAGAACCAUUAUAGGAAACCUUUUUUGGAUUUGCAUUGGCCAAGAUUGAUGAAGACAAGUUUCUAUUUCUGUUUUUUUGGUUUCCUAAAAUCAUCAUCCUUUUGUUUAAUUAUAUUUUACAAGCACAUGCAUUGGUGAAAGUUACAUAGGUAGAGAGUGGCUUUUUUUGAAAUUAUUAUUUCAUAUUGUUAAUUACUGAUUUGUUAUAUUCAAAUUUAGAAGGAAAUGAAUGAGUUAAAUUAAUUAAGAAAGAAAAAAAUAAAAAAGCAAAAUGGUAUACCAAGAAUCACUACGGAAAUUUCUAAUUUUGUAAAUUUCCCAAAUUCAAAGUUUUAAAUUAAAAUUCUUUCGCCCUCUUUAAGUGUUUUAUACGGGAAUGAACUAAUUUUCUUUAUAGAUUUUAUAUUAAAAAUAUAUAAAAUUUAAAUAUGAAAAAAAAUUCCAACAAUUAAUGAUUCAUAUAAUCAAUCCAAAAUUCGGAGAUCAAUAAAUCAUCACGAACAUAAAUUUAAUUUAAUUAAUGUCUAUUAGAAUGAGAGAAGUUUAUAAGGUUCAUGGAGAAAAAAAUCCAAACAAUCAAUAAAUGAUUUAUAUAAUCCAUCCAAAACUCAGGAAAUCAAUGAUUCAUCACAAACACAAAUUAUUAUUCUUACUUGAAAAUAAUUACCGAGAAAGAUGGUUGUUCUUUAAAUUUGAAAAUUUUCGUGGGUUUUAGAUUUGAAGGGUAAAAUGUAAAAAAUAAAAAAUCCCAUUUUACAAUCCAUUAUACAUACAUAAAUACAUAUAUAUAUAUAUAUAUACAAAAUCACAGGGAUUACCAAGUGAGUUAGGCGGAUCUCCGCCAUAAGAAAAAAGAAAAAAAAAACAAAAAAAAAAAAACAGAAAACGAGAGACUUUCCAAUCGCCAAAAUGUUUAGUAUAGCUUCUCUGAAAAACAGAAUAAUAAUGAUAAUAGUAAAUAUAUAUAUAUAUGUAUGUAUUAUGGACUUCAAAGUUCAAACUUCAUCGAAAUACGUUAAGAACUUCAGAAGAAAUCCAACUUUAAGCAAUGGAAAGUACCUGGGGUAUCCAGAAUAAUCUUCUUCCUCAGAUAAAAUCAUUUAGAAAAAGUUUCAAGUAUAUAUACAUGUAUAUAUAUAUAUUAUCCAUGAAAGAUUUCGUGCCUGAUAUAUAUUUG